rnacentral:rRNA from 1 species
GUAUCAGAAGUGCGAAUGCUGACAUGAGUAACGAUAAAGGGGGUGAAAAACCUCCUCGCCGGAAGACCAAGGGUUCCUGUCCAACGUUAAUCGGGGCAGGGUAAGUCGACCCCUAAGGCGAGGCCGAAAGGCGUAGUCGAUGGGAAACGGGUUAAUAUUCCCGUACUUCUUACAAUUGCGAUGGGGGGACGGAGAAGGCUAGGUGGGCCUGGCGACGGUUGUCCAGGUUCAAGUGCGUAGGCUUAAGAGUUAGGUAAAUCCGGCUCUUUUUAAGGCUGAGACACGACGUCGAGCUACUACGGUAGUGAAGUCAUUGAUGCCAUGCUUCCAGGAAAAGCCUCUAAGCUUCAGAUUGUAAGGAAUCGUACCCCAAACCGACACAGGUGGUCGGGUAGAGAAUACCAAGGCGCUUGAGAGAACUCGGGUGAAGGAACUAGGCAAAAUGGUACCGUAACUUCGGGAGAAGGUACGCUCUCGACGGUGAAGUCCCUCGCGGAUGGAGCUAUUGAGAGUCGCAGAUACCAGGUGGCUGCAACUGUUUAUUAAAAACA